rnacentral:rRNA from 1 species
UACAGGGGGGGCAAGCGUUGUUCGGAAUUACUGGGCGUAAAGGGCUUGUAGGCGGCCAACUAAGUCAAACGUGAAAUCCCUCGGCUUAACCGAGGAACUGCGCUUGGUACUGGAUGGCUUGAGAUUGGGAGAGGGAUGCGGAAUUCCAGGUGUAGCGGUGAAAUGCGUAGAGAUCGGGAAGAACAUCGGUGGCGAAAGCGCUCUGCUGGACUGCAACUGACACUCAGGGACGAAAGCUAGGGGAGCGAAUGGG